UUUUUCCUGAGUGAAUACCUGCAUGUGAGCUCUGUGGAGAUUGGGACAUGAAGCCUUCUCAUCUCUCCAUGGACUGUGAUCUGGAGUCUCCUGAGCACAACCAGGGGCGUGAAGUCAGUGUCGGGAGGAUGGGGUUCAGGAAUAAAGUUGAGUCACCCAUCCAGGGGGAGUGGCUGUUAUGGAGAAUCAGAAGUCUGCCCUCCUUGUGCCAAUAUAUAACACUCUGAUCUUUAAUGAGAACGCAUGAGGCAGACUUUGAUUGUACAUCUGUCUUUGGAUUCCAGGCAGGAUGAAGGUAGUGGAUGAUCUGAAACACUCAAAUUCUUCUAAAGCAUCAGGUAA